GAUGAACGCUAGCGGCAGGCUUAAUACAUGCAAGUCGAGGGGCAGCACGGUUAGCAAUAACUGGUGGCGACCGGCGCACGGGUGCGUAACACGUAUACAAUCUACCUUAAACAGGGGGAUAGCCUUUCGAAAGAGAGAUUAAUACCCGUAAUAAAUUGAAACGGCAUCGUUUGAUUUUGAAAGCUCCGGCGGUUUGAGAUGAGUAUGCGUCUGAUUAGCUAGUUGGUGAGGUAACGGCUCACCAAGGCGACGAUCAGUAGGGGAUCUGAGAGGACUAACCCCCACACUGGUACUGAGACACGGACCAGACUCCUACGGGAGGCAGCAGUAAGGAUAUUGGUCAAUGGAGGCAACUCUGAACCAGCCAUGCCGCGUGCAGGAUGACGGCCCUAUGGGUUGUAAACUGCUUUUAUACAAGAGAAAACCCUGGUACGUGUACCAGGUUGAUAGUAUUGUAAGAAUAAGCAUCGGCUAACUUCGUGCCAGCAGCCGCGGUAAU
rnacentral:rRNA from 1 species